AAAACAUUUUCUUUUUAAUAAAAGAUAGUCCCUGCCCAAUGAAUUUUUAAUGGCCGCAGUAAAUUGACUGCGAUAAUGUAGCAUAAUUGCUUGUAAUUUUAUUGGUUACUUGUUUGAAUGGGUUAAUGAUAAAAAUAAUUUUUAUUUUCUAUGAAAAUUUUUAUUUCUGGUUAAAAUACUAGAAUUUUAAAAAAAGAAGAGAAGACCCUAAAAGUUUUUUACAAAAAGUUAUGUAUUUUUUUUAGGGAAAAAAUUUUUUUUAAAAAUUUUUAGUCCGGGUUUUAGGCAAAAAUUACUUUAGGGAUAACAGGAAAAUAAAAAUUAAAAGUUCAAAUUUAAAUUUUUGUUUUUUACCUCGAUGUUGAAUUAAAAAAUCUUUUUUUUGCAGGAGAAAAAAAAGAAAGUCUGUUCGACUUUUAAAUAUUUACAUGAUUUGA
rnacentral:rRNA from 1 species